AUUGUCCUUUGAAGAGAAGGUGAAGCAAGAUGGGCGAAGAGAAGGUGAAGCAAGGUGGGCAAAGAGAAGCCUUCACUGAAUGCCCUCCUUGCAGGAAUGCCAAACCGCACAACUAUCCAUGCAAAAACGAACCUUCAUAGGAACCAAAAGUCAAGUGAGUGAUCAGAGUACCUGGUUUUAACUUCAUACCACUGAAAAAGGAACUGAAGAAGCUCUGCCAACAAGGCAACUGGGGAAGAGAAGGGCUGAAUGAACAC
rnacentral:lncRNA from 1 species